rnacentral:lncRNA from 1 species
UUUUUUUUUUUUUAUUUUUUUUUUUUGGUAAGGCGCAAAAUAAAGGAGACUCCCUCAUUAUGUUAGAAUCUUCUGUUUUCAGGAGGAACAAAAUUAUCUGAUCUGUUUAGGAUCUAUCUGCCUCCUUAAAGUUUCAGGUUGAUUAUGAAACUUAGUAUGAAUUAUUCCACUUUGGUUUGGUCUCAUCUGUUGGGGGCCUAGCAGAGUACCUAACUCUAAAACAAUGGUCUACCAUUAUUUUGUUAAACAGUUCCUCUUUUUUGGUUAGAGUCUCACUAAAGUGAUAAUGUAACCAAAACUUAGAGCAUUUGUGCUACUCAAUCAUCAUCCUUUUGUGUUUCCAGUCUCAACACGUCACUCAUAGGUUACAGUGUCCUCAUAAUUACUUAUUUAAGUUUUUGUUUUAUCAAUCAGACAGAGACCAUUCAAUAUUCUAAAGAUGGCUUCAUGCAAACAUUUAAACAUUCUCUCUGUUUCUGAGAGAAAACAGAGUACUCCUAUAUUAGGAGGGUAAUACCAAGUAUUUUAAGUAUGCUCCUUAACCAAGGUCCCCAUGAGCUAAACCAACUAAAACACAUCAAAGAAUGAGCCAGAUUAAAAGUCUAUAUAUUUUAAACAAACAACCCAUUCAUUAACUCUCUGGAACUAAUUCCCUAUCACACUUACAAUAGCCAAUGUAGUCAUCUGUGUGCAACCAGAAGUAUCAGCAACUACACAGAUUCUUUCUUUUUCAUGGAGUUAGUAACCUAGAGCAAUUGUAUUAUCUAACUUGAGCAAGAUAAUUUAAAUAAAUUUGUUGUGCAAACAUAGCCUUUGCAGUAGAAUCUACUAUAGAGCCUAUCAUUAGGUACACAUUUCUAAUCAUCGUCUCGUUUACAUUUACUCCAAACCAUUGAACAAAGAGACCUAGCAAAUAAUGCCAAUCCAAAAGAGUGAAGGCCUCUUCUUAACCAAUAUGUAGGUGAAAAGGAGGGGACUAGUUUUCUGUUUUUCACUGAUAAUGGAACAACACAGUCACCAUUAAAAUUCCUAGCCCAUAUUGGCCCUUCAUCUUCCACCCAUCAACACAUAAGUUUUCCCAUGUAUAACGUAGAAUACAAAAUCCUCCACGAAUGUGGAUCACGAGGUC